rnacentral:rRNA from 1 species
GUAGGUGGCAAGCGUUAUCCGGGAAUUAUUGGGGCGUAAAGCGCGCGCAGGUGGUUUCUUAAGGUCUGAUGUGAAAGCCCACGGGCUCAACCGUGGAGGGUCAUUGGAAACUGGGAGACUUGAGUGCAGAAGAGGAAAGUGGAAUUCCAUGUGUAGCGGUGAAAUGCGUAGAGAUAUGGAGGAACACCAGUGGCGAAGGCGACUUUCUGGUCUGUAACUGACACUGAGGCGCGAAAGCGUGGGGAGCAAACAGGAUUAGAUACCCUGGUAGUCCACGCCGUAAACGAUGAGUGCUAAGUGUUAGAGGGUUUCCGCCCUUUAGUGCUGAAGUUAACGCAUUAAGCACUCCGCCUGGGGAGUACGGCCGCAAGGCUG